rnacentral:rRNA from 1 species
AUUGAACGCUGGCGGCAUGCCUUACACAUGCAAGUCGAACGGCAGCACGGGUGCUUGCACCUGGUGGCGAGUGGCGAACGGGUGAGUAAUACAUCGGAACGUACCUUAUCGUGGGGGAUAACGCAGCGAAAGUUGCGCUAAUACCGCAUACGCCCUGAGGGGGAAAGCGGGGGACCGUAAGGCCUCGCGCGAUUAGAGCGGCCGAUGUCUGAUUAGCUUGUUGGUGAGGUAAAAGCUCACCAAGGCGAUGAUCAGUAGCUGGUCUGAGAGGACGAUCAGCCACACUGGGACUGAGACACGGCCCAGACUCCUACGGGAGGAAGCAGGGGGGAAUUUCGGACAAUGGGGGCAACCCUGAUCCAGCAAUGCCGCGUGAGUGAAGAAGGCCUUCGGGUUGUAAGGCUCUUUUGUCAGGGAAGAAACAGCAGCUCUAACACAGUCUGCGAAUGACGGUACCUGAAGAAUAAGCACCGGCUAACUACGUGCCAGCAGCCGCCGUAA